AGGACGAACGCUGGCGGCGUGCUUAACACAUGCAAGUCGAACGGAAAGGCCCGCUUGCGGGUACUCGAGUGGCGAACGGGUGAGUAACACGUGGGCAACCUGCCCUCAGCUUUGGGAUAACUCCCGGAAACGGGUGCUAAUACCGAAUAUUGACAUUGUCUCGCAUGGGGUGGUGUUGAAAGUUUUUUCGGCUGGGGAUGGGCCCGCGGCCUAUCAGCUUGUUGGUGGGUGAUGGCCUACCAAGGCGACGACGGGUA
rnacentral:rRNA from 1 species